GUUCCUAUAGCGCAAUGGCUAGAGCGUUGGACUUCUGAUUCAAUAGGCGUGGGUUCUAAGCCCACUUGGAAUG